CCUACGGGAGGCUGCAGUGGGGAAUAUUGGACAAUGGGGGCAACCCUGAUCCAGCCAUGCCGCGUGUGUGGAGAAGGCCCUCGGGUUGUAAAGCACUUUCAGUGAGGAAGAACGCCUGGUGGUUAAUACCCAUCAGGAAAGACAUCACUCACAGAAGAAGCACCGGCUAACUCCGUGCCAGCAGCCGCGGUAAUACGGAGGGUGCGAGCGUUAAUCGGAAUUACUGGGCGUAAAGCGCGCGUAGGUGGCUUGAUAAGCCGGUUGUGAAAGCCCCGGGCUCAACCUGGGAACGGCAUCCGGAACUGUCAAGCUAGAGUGCAGGAGAGGAAGGUAGAAUUCCCGGUGUAGCGGUGAAAUGCGUAGAGAUCGGGAGGAAUACCAGUGGCGAAGGCGGCCUUCUGGACUGACACUGACACUGAGGUGCGAAAGCGUGGGUAGCAAACAGGAUUAGAUACCCCUGUAGUC
rnacentral:rRNA from 1 species